rnacentral:lncRNA from 1 species
AUAAAAGCUAACCUUAUGCUGGUUGUGAACAUGCUUGGUUAAAUUUGACCAAGUAGAUUCAGCAGAUUUUUUUUGUUGUAAAAAUUGAUAACGACUUACGACGUCGACAGACCAAUAUGAUUUUUUUUAUAUUCAAAAAGUUACAGCGAGUGUUUCAAUUGAGUAUUAAUAAUAGCUGGAGAUGAAGCGUAUUACCCACAUCUCAUUACAUGCAUCUGUUUACAUACACAGUUUGUAAAAUCAAACAAUCUAUUGAAGGGAGA